rnacentral:rRNA from 1 species
AGACGGCUCAGUAACGCGUAGUCAACCUAACCUAUGGAUGGGAAUAACCUCGGGAAACUGAGAAUAAUGCCCAAUAGAACACUAUACCUGGAAUGGUUUGUGUUCCAAAUGAUUUAUCGCCGUAGGAUGGGACUGCGGCCUAUCAGUUUGUUGGUGAGGUAAUGACCCACCAAGACUAUUACAGGUACGGGCUCUGAGAGGAGUAGCCCGGAGAUGGGUACUGAGACACGGACCCAGGCCCUAUGGGGCGCAGCAGGCGAGAAAACUUUGCAAUGUGCGAAAGCACGACAAGGUUAAUCCGAGUGAUUUGUGCUAAACGAAUCUUUUGUUAGUCCUAGAAACACUAACGAAUAAGGGGUGGGCAAGUUCUGGUGUCAGCCGCCGCGGUAAAACCAGCACCUCAAGUGGUCAGGAUGAUUAUUGGGCCUAAAGCAUCCGUAGCCGGCUCUGUAAGUUUUCGGUUAAAUCUGUACGCUCAACGUACAGGCUGCCGGGAAUACUGCAGAGCUAGGGAGUGGGAGAGGUAGACGGUACUCGGUAGGAAGGGGUAAAAUCCUUUGAUCUAUUGAUGACCACCUGUGGCGAAGGCGGUCUACCAGAACACGUCCGACGGUGAGGGAUGAAAGCUGGGGGAGCAAACCGGAUUAGAUACCCGGGUAGUCCCAGCUGUAAACUAUGCAAACUCAGUGAUGCAUUGACUUGUGGUCAAUGCAGUGCUGCAGGGAAGCCGUUAAGUUUGCCGCCUGGGAAGUACGUACGCAAGUAUGAAACUUAAAGGAAUUGGCGGGGGAGCACCACAAGGGGUGAAGC